rnacentral:rRNA from 1 species
UACAGAGGGUGCGAGCGUUAAUCGGAAUUACUGGGCGUAAAGCGUGCGUAGCCGGUUACGUAAGUCGGAUGUGAAAUCCCCGGGCUCAACCUGGGAAUUGCAUUCGAGACUGUGUAGCUGGGGUGCGGAAGAGGGAAGCGGAAUUUCCGGUGUAGCGGUGAAAUGCGUAGAUAUCGGAAGGAACAUCAGUGGCGAAAGCGGCUUCCUGGUCCAGCACCGACGUUCAGGCACGAAAGCGUGGGGAGCAAACAGG